UAGAUUAUUUUUGCAUAUUUUCUUGUCGCAUUUUUUUUUUCUAGGAGUCCUCAUAUUACUGAUGCAACUAAGGUACAAUGCUUCUAUCCUCCAUAUGCAUCAUAUUUUCAUCCCAAAUAAAAAAUAUAUAAAAAAUAAAAAUCAUAAUAUAAUAUCUCAAAAAAUAAAAAAAAUUAAAAAAAAAUAUUGAGGUCAAUGUCUGAUCUAGGUUGGGGAGUAUAGGAUUCGAAUUUUUGAAGAAAUUUUUCGCAUUUUCGUAUUUUUGAAUAAAUUUUUCGAAAAAAAAACCUAAUUUCUAUGCCUUAGUGCUGAAAUGAUAAAUACACAAAGUAUAUAAAAUCUAAAAAUCCCAAUGAUUUGUCAGGAAUAAGACAAUUUGAGUUCUUUUCAUUAAAAGUUCUUUAGUGAGUGGUAAGAUAAUUUGUACUUUGGAAUUUCACAAUACACAUGGCCUGCACUUCUAAGGGUUAGGUUCAACAUUAUGUUGUUAAGUCUGGUAGCAACCUUGAGUCCUGAUGAAUCAUUCCUAUCUAAUUCACUAUUAUUCCAUAUUUAUUAAAAAAAAUAGUCAGGUACAUCGAAAAGGGCUACCUAUUGUCAAAGGUUAGCGGGCUUGUAUGAGGAACCCGAGCAUAGGUUCGUAGGGGAGUCUUGAUGCCCAACACCUUAUGCCAUCUGAUGUGGAAGUGUUGACUGAAUACUCGCUAUACGGAGGAAUCAUUGCAAGAGUAAAAGUACGUAAUUUAUUUAUAAAUAAAAAAAAAAGAAAAAAAAAAGAGAAAAUAAUAUUGACCUUGAAAAAAGAUAGUGUGAAAGCCGUCGCUAUAAAAAUUCGAGUAAACUGUAAUAUUACAGAUAAAGCCCAUGAGGUAUUAAAGUAAACAUCCACAACUCUCGAAAUCCUGCAAGAUAGGAUGAUUUUGAAUCAGUGAUUAGGUCUUAUCUGACCAAUUCUUGGAAACUACCAGCUUUAGCAGUAUUUUGGGGAAUCUAAAACCUUAGCUUGUGUUUGGUCCAAAUAUCACCAAGCACCCAAGUAUAAAUAAGCCUUACAACUCUCUAACAGAAACUUAAUGACUUCAACUUAAGUUGCAUACUGACUUAGGAUUUGGGCUGACUUAGUAAUUAAAACUUUGUGUGCUUUUGAAAUUAUUGGCACUUAUGCAUUUGAAAUUAGAUUUUAUAAAACGAUAAAAUAAAUUCUUUGGGUAGAGACAACAGUUUGUGGGUAUCUGAGCCGGAAACCCUCACGAGACAAAACUCGUCCACUAGGGCCACCUAGGGGUUUAAAGCCUUAUUGCAUACGGUAAAUGCAAUCGCGAUUCCUGCGAAAGUGAGUUUGUUUUUAUUUCGCUCGAUGACUAGCAAAAUGUAGGUUGGGGGUGUGAUAAGUGCUAAAUAAUGCAUAAAUUAAUAUCUUAUUUAUAGCACUUAUCAUUAUUUUAAUUCACAUAUCUUGUAAAUUUAACUAAAAAAAUGUAUUACCUUCAUCAUUGCAUUUUAAAGGUAAUUCAAGUUUGAUUUGAUUAUUUAUUGAUUAAGCUUAAUGCAUGCAGGUCGAGUCGAGCUCAAUUAGGUAAAGCCUAAACGGACACUACAUCAUUUCACAAUUUCACAUUCUCCUGAGUCGACUCCAAGAACUCUUUUCCAAAAUCCAGUGCUUUCCAAGUUCACCUAAAUUUCGUCCCACUCAUUCGAAUUCUCCUGUUUUAAUAUUAAAAAUAAUACAAUCCCUUCAAUCAAUUAUUUCUCAGAUCUCAAAGCAUACUAUCUUAGUUGCACAGAUUGCAAAGCCUCACCCCUUCAAUCCAUUUCAACUUCCAACGAAUAAUCCCAGAUCUCCUCCCAGCCAUUCCGCUUCCCUCCACGUCAUUUCUUUAGGAACAGAGCCAUAUGUACAGGAUAAGCUCUCAUAUCCAAACUUCCCCUUCUUCCGGAUCGUUCUCACAUUCAUUCCAUUCGAAACUCAAAGCUUCUCCCGGAUCACUCCCUCUCAACCGAAUCUAGCUUUCCAUCACCCACGGAUAAGCCCAAGCCAGCCUUCAUCUCAUCCGCGAUUAACUCCCAGCUUCAUCCCAUUCAAAUUCCUUCUCCUAAGCUUCUCCAGCUAGAUUCCCUCCACAGAUGAACAUCUCCCAACGUCCAGCUUCAUCUUCCCGAGAUCCCAACUCCAAGCGCCCACAUCUUCGGCAGUCCAAAGAACAAAUCCAAACCUCCACGAACAGAGUACGUCCGCAGCUUCAUCCUCCCGAUUCCUCCGGCACCUCAUUUAAGCCGUGAACAGCACCCCAGCAUCUUCCGGAUGAGCAUUCCAUCUUCUUCUGACUUCUUCUCAUCCACAAAUCCGAACCAAAUGCAUAACAGAGCGCCCUUAUCCCGAGGAACAGACCCGUAUGUGAUCUUCUCCCCUGUUUCACGCAUGGCCAGCCGUUCCCAAGCUUCACAGAAGCUUCAUCUAAACUGUCAACCGAAUCCAAGUUUUUCCCCUGUUUCGGAAUCAAGUCCCAAUAUCCCACGGAACAGCUCCUCCCGCGAUGCUUGCCAUACAAACUUCUAUCUUUAUCCAACACCCAAGCUGCCGAAUCCCAUGGAACAUCUCCCCUGUUCCCAACCGAAUCGAGUUCAUCCUCCCGUGAUCCACUCAUCUCCCAGCUGCAUCCAUUUGAUUCCAGCUCCAUCCUUGCGAGUUUCACGGCAUCCAAACAUCCCCUGUUUCUCCACGACCAGGCUUCUUCCACGUCCACCAGCGAGGGAUUCUUCCCAGCCAAAGGAAAUCAAACAUCGAACCGAGCCAUAUCUAAGCACCUUCAUUCCGUUUUACUCCCAGCGUCUGCAUAUCCAUGGGAUAAACUCAAAUCCCAGCUUCUCUUCCGGUUUGAUCCCAUGAAAUCGCUAACGUCUCAGCUCAUCUUCCGACGCGUCCGGCUUCACGCGUCUUCUCCUUUGAUCCGAACCACAGCAGUCCACGAAUCAGGCCAAGCUUCAUCCCAACGGCAAAGGGUUCAUCCUUAUCUACAUUCGAAACAGAAGAGGGGAGUCGCAGCCUAUAAAAGGCCCCAGGGUGAACAGAGGAGGAUUCAUUGACGACCGGGAGAAGAAGAUCUCGGGAGAGAGGGAGUUCCCACCGAAGUAAAAAGGAAAGAGAGGCUUUUGGGUAUUGUGGGAAGAACUUCCCACGGAAAAAGAAAAAAAAAUGAAAUGCUAAGGGAGUCCCACGGGAGAGGAAAAAGCCGGAAGGAAGAAAUGAGAGCCCGCUGCUGUGCCACUGCUGCUGUCGCCCACGACUUCAUUGGAAGGCUGAUCUCCUCUCUAGGGUUGGAUGCAGCCCUAACAAAGGAACACGGGUUUUAUAUUUUAUUUUAUAUUCUUGGGGUUGUAUGAACUUAUUAUUAUUUUUAAUGGAUAUCUUCUUCUGAAUCAUAUUUAAUUUUUGUGAUUUUAAGUAUGGUGUUCGUACAACUAUUCUUCAUGAUCAUUAAAGUAAAAAUAAGAUAGUUCAUGCUUAAGGAAGAUGCGAUGUGCUACCACCUUAGAUUAGGAUAGACAUUUCAUGCUAACUAAAGAUGGACUAUGCCUAAAUUGCUUUUGUGAAAUUUUUAUUCGAAUGCUUAUUAGGCUUGUAGCCAAUUUGCAUGUUAAUUCAAGAACGAAAUAAAUUAUAAAUAACCCUUGUUCCGAUGUUAGUGGUGAAUUCCUUGCCCUAGGUUCCCUCAAACUGAUAUCAUUUUAAUUGCAUUUUUUUAUUAAAUUUCUUAGUUUAAUUUUCUUCACAAACUCUUCUUUUUAAUUUUCUUUUAAGAAAAAUAACUAUACCCCAAUCCCUAUGGAUCGAUACCCGUAAUCACUAUCUUACUAGAUAUGUGCUAUUGCGUGGUCUUUAAAGUUGACUAUCAAUUUUUGGCGCCGUUGCCGGGGAUUGUUAGCAUAGUUAUUUUUCUUUUUAUUAAAAAAAACUUUCAAAAAAAAACUUUCAAAAAAUAUAUAUAUCUAAAAUAAAAUAAAAAUAUUUUCUAUUUUUGUUACUUUUCUUAUCUCCUUUCUCUCUCUUACUAAUUUUUGAUUUUUAUUUGAUCAGGAAUCGAUGAGGAAGUCCGGGAUGAUUAAAAAGGGAACUGCUGAAAAAAGAAUGCUGUAGAGGUUUGCUUUUAAAAAAAAUUGCUGGGAAAAUUCUCUUUGGUAACAUCUAAACCUUUCUUAUUUAAAUUGAUUCCCAAUUAGCCUGAAAUUUUGUGGUGAUUGUUUGAUUUUAAUUUUAGUAAAAGUGUGAAUGCAUGCUUGAUACACAUACAUCAAUUAAUCCGCACAUAGUAAGGGCAAUCACCCCAACAAGAUAAGAACUGGAUUUCAUCACCAGAUUCUUACCCAAAUUAGGUGAAUCAAUUCUCACAUAGCUAUCACGUUAAUUAAAAUCAAUUAGACGUUGGCCCCUAGAGACAUUCGAGCUCAAUAGGACGAAGAUCACUGAAAGUUGCACCAAUUUCGCUCUGUGGCUCAGUUGAUGUCUAGGCAAGCUUUGUCCCAAGGGAGACAGUUCAUCUGUUCGAGGCAAGUGGUUUUUAAGUGGGACCUUUGCAACGCAUCGUGACCCCCCCACUUACCUGGGAGCUUACCUGGUCAACUUCGUUCAUUAGACCGGAUUGGAGGCUUAGGUGUCCUCUUCAAACCAGUUAGGAGCUGUCUAGUGAUUUUAGGGCAAAUACAAGGAUUUGACGUAUUUUUCUUUUAGUGCAUGCUUGACUUGACUGAUCAGAAGAGUAUAACUCCUUGCUCGACAAUCAGUCUUCCACAAAUUUUCUUUCUUGGAGAACUCGGCAUGAAUCCGGUAUAAUUCGAUAAGGAUGCGCUCCGUCUGGCUGAAGACGUUAAACUUAGUACUUGUUGGGAGGCAACCCAAUUCUCAUAGAUUAUUUUUGCAUAUUUUCUUGUCGCAUUUUUUUUUCAGGAGUCCUCAUAUUACUGAUGCAACUAAGGUACAAUGCUUCUAUCCUCCAUAUGCAUCAUAUUUUCAUCCCAAAUAAAAAAAUAUAUAAAAAAUAAAAAUCAUAAUAUAAUAUCUCAAAAAAAUAAAAAAAUAAAAAAAUAAAAAAAACAUUGAGGACAAUGUCUGAUCUAGGUUGGGGGGUAUAGGAUUCGAAUUUUUGAAGAAAUUUUUCGCAUUUUCAUAUUUUUGAAUAAAUUUUUAGAAAAAAAACCUAAUUUCUAUGCCUUAGUGCUGAAAUGAUAAAUACACAAAGUAUAUAAAAUCUAAAAAGCCCAAUGAUUUGUCAGGAAUAAGACAAUUUGAGUUCUUUUCAUUAAAAGUUCUUUUAGUGAGUGGUAAGAUAAUUUGUACUUUGGAAUUUCACAAUACACAUGGCCUGCACUUCUAAGGGUUAGGUUCAACAUUAUGUUGUUAAGUCUGGUAGCAACCUUGAGUCCUGAUGAAUCAUUCCUAUCUAAUUCACUAUUAUUCCAUAUUUAUUAAAAAAAAUAGUCAGGUACAUCGAAAAGGGCUACCUAUUGUCAAAGGUCAGCGGGCUUGUAUGAGGAACCUGAGCAUAGGUCCAUAGGGGAGUCUUGAUGCCCAACACCUUAUGCCAUCUGGUGUGGGAGUGUUGACUGAAUGCUCGCUAUACGGAGGAAUCAUUACAAGAGUAAAAGUACGUAAUUUAUUUAUAAUUUAAAAAAAAAUAAUAAUAUUGACCUUGAAAAAAGACGAUAGUGUGAAAGCCGUCGCUGUAAAAAUUUGAGUAAACUGGAAUAUUACAGAUAAAGCCCAUGAGGUAUUAAAGUAAGCAUCCACAACUCACGAAAUCCUGCAAGAUAGGAUAAUUUUGAAUCAGUGAUUAGGUCUUAUCUGACCAAUUCUUGGAAACUACCAGCUUUAGCAGUAUUUUGGAGAAUCUAAAACCUUAGCUUGUGUAUGGUCCAGAUAUCACCAAGCACCCAAGUAUAAAUAAGCCUUACAACUCUCUAACAGAAACUUAAUGACUUCAACUUAAGUUGCAUACUGACUUAGGAUUUGGGCUGACUUAGUAAUUAAAACUUUGUGUGCUUUUGAAAUUAUUGGCACUUAUGCAUUUGAAAUUAGAUUUCAUAAAACGAUAAAAUAAAUUCUUUGGGUAGAGACAACAGUUUGUGGGUAUCUGAGCCGAAAACCCUCACGAGACAAAACUCGUCCACUAGGGCCACCUAGGGGUUUAAAGCCUUAUUGCAUACGGUAAAUGCAAUCACGAUUCCUGCGAAAGUGAGUUUGUUUUUUUUUCGCUCGAGGACUAGCAAAAUGUAGGUUGGGGGUGUGAUAAGUGCUAAAUAAUGCAUAAAUUAAUAUCUUAUUUAUAGCACUUAUCAUUAAUUUAAUUCACAUAUUUUGUAAAUUUAACUAAAAAAAUGUAUUAUCACCACAUUUUAAAGGUAAUUCAAGUUUGAUUUGAUUAUUUAUUGAUUAAGCUUAAUGCAUGCAGGUCGAGUCGAGCUCAAUUAGGUAAAGCCUAAACGGACACUACAUCAUUUCACAAUUUCACAUUCUCCUGAGUCGACUCCAAGAACUCUUCUCCAAAAUCCAGUGCUUUCCAAGUUCACCUAAAUUUCGUCCCACUCAUUCCAAUUCUCCUGUUUUAACAUUAAAAAUAAUACAAUCCCUUCAAUCAAUUGUUUCUCAGAUCUCAAAGCAUACUAUCUUAGUUGCACAGAUUGCAAAGCCUCACCCCUUCAAUCCAUUUCAACUUCCCACGAAUAAUCCCAGAUCUCCUCCCAGCCAUUCCGCUUCCCUCCCAGCUUCAUCCCGGAUCUUAGUUCAUCCUCCCGUGAUCCACUCAUCUCCCAGCUGCAUCCAUUUGAUUCCAGCUCCAUCCUUGCGAGUUUCACGGCAUCCAAACAUCCCCUGUUUCUCCACGACCAGGCUUCUUCCACGUCCACCAGCGAGGGAUUCUUCCCAGCCAAAGGAAAUCAAACAUCGAACUGAGCCAUAUCUAAGCACCUUCAUUCCGUUUUACUCCCAGCGUCUGCAUAUCCAUGGGAUAAACUCAAAUCCCAGCUUCUCUUCCGGUUUGAUCCCAUGAAAUCGCUAACGUCUCAGCUCAUCUUCCCACGCGUCCGGCUUCACGCGUCUUCUCCUUUGAUCCGAACCACAGCAGUCCAUGAAUCAGGCCAAGCUUCAUCCCAACGGCAAAGGGUUCAUCCUUAUCUACAUUCGAAACAGAGGAGGGGAGUCGCAGCCUAUAAAAGGCCCCAGGGUGAACAGAGGAGGAUUCAUUGACGACCGGGAGAAGAUCAUCUCGGGAGAGAGGGAGUUCCCACCGAAGUAAAAAAGGAAAGAGAGGCUUUUGGGUAUUGUGGGAAGAACUUCCCACGGAAAAAGAAAAAAAAAUGAAAUGCUAAGGGAGUCCCACGGGAGAGGAAAAAGCCGGAAGGAAGAAAUGAGAGCCCGCUGCUGUACCACUGCUGCUGUCGCCCACGACUUCAUUGGAAGGUUGAUCUCCUCUCUAGGGUUGGAUGCAGCCCUAACAAAGGAACACGGGUUUUAUAUUUUAUUUUAUAUUCUUGGGGUUGUAUGAACU
rnacentral:lncRNA from 1 species